UACGAAGGGGGCUAGCGUUGCUCGGAAUCACUGGGCGUAAAGGGUGCGUAGGCGGGUUUUUAAGUCAGGGGUGAAAUCCUGGAGCUCAACUCCAGAACUGCCUUUGAUACUGAAGAUCUUGAGUCCGGGAGAGGUGAGUGGAACUGCGAGUGUAGAGGUGAAAUUCGUAGAUAUUCGCAAGAACACCAGUGGCGAAGGCGGCUCACUGGCCCGGUACUGACGCUGAGGCA
rnacentral:rRNA from 1 species